UACGUAGGUGGCAAGCGUUGUCCGGAAUUACUGGGCGUAAAGGGCGAGUAGGCGGUUACUUAAGUCAGGUGUGAAAACUGCGGGCUCAACCCGGAGAUUGCACCUGAUACUGGGUGACUUGAGUGCAGGAGAGGGCAGUGGAAUUCCUAGUGUAGCGGUGAAAUGCGUAGAUAUUAGGAGGAACACCAGUGGCGAAGGCGGCUGUCUGGACUGUAACUGACGCUGAGGCGCGAAAGCGUGGGGAGCAAACAGGAUUAGAUACC
rnacentral:rRNA from 1 species